rnacentral:rRNA from 1 species
AUGGCCGAGUCCAGAUCUGCCGUCGUCGACUUGGAGAAAGGCACCUUCGAUUUGGAGGAAGGAGCCGCACUGGAGCCCGACUCAGCGCGGCGCACGGGGUUGUUUCUUGGCGGCUUGUUUCUCGUGAUCGACAUUAUUAUUCUUGCGCGCUCCGGCCUGUGGGCAGGUUUCGCGGCGGCUAUCCUGUUCGCAGCAGUGAUCUUGUUUGUAGUUUCGAUAGUGCGCCGAGCUGGCCCUUGGCCUGAUGAAGAUGACAACGAUGUCCGCCGGCAAGUAGACAUCAAAGCAGCUCCAGCUCCACCAGCAGAAAUAGAGCCACGCUCUUUUGAUCUUUUGAGUGAAGCUCCUCAUACUUUUAUCCUUCCAACGUUGCUCCCUCUGAUACUAUAUUCAUGA